UUCACCACUGAUUGUCCAAACGCAAUUCUUGUACGAGUCUGCGGCCAACCGAGAAUUGUGGCUGGACAUCUGUGGUUGA
ncrna:Rattus norvegicus (Norway rat) microRNA rno-mir-219a precursor (rno-mir-219a-2)